ensembl:lncRNA
GGGAUGGUGAGGAUUAGAUUUGGGGGUGAAGGUUGUUGGGAUUAGAGUUAGGGGUGAAGGUUGUUGGGAUUAGAGUUAGAGGUGAAGGUUGUUGGGAUUAGAGUUAGGGGUGAAGGUUGUUGGGAUUAGAGUUAGGGGUGAAGGUUGUUGGGAUUAGAGUUAGGGGUGAAGGUUGUUGGGAUUAGAGUUAGGGGUGAAGGUUGUUGGGAUUAGAGUUAGGGGUGAAGGUUGUUGGGAUUAGAGUUAGGGGUGAAGGUUGUUGGGAUUAGAGUUAGGGGUGAAGGUUGUUGGGAUUAGAGUUAGGGGUGAAGGUUGUUGGGAUUAGAGUUAGGGGUGAAGGUAGACACUUGAGACAACACCAUCCGAAUUGCUCCCUACCCAGAUCCCAUUGACCUUAAGCUUUUGAUGUUUACAAAUCUGAAGGGUCUGGAUUAGGGUUGUACAAUUCUGGUAACGUUCACAAAAUAUUCAUGGAAUCAGGAAAUCCUGUUUGGAGAUUCAUGGAAUCAGGAAAUCAUGUUUGGAGAUUCAUGGAAUCAGGAAAUCCUGUUUGGAGAUUCAUGGAAUCAGGAAAUCCUGUUUGGAGAUUCAUGGAAUCAGGAAAUCCUGGUUGGUGAUUCAUGGAAUCAGGAGGGAAUAAGCAGAACAUCUGCAAUUGUCCAACCAGGAUUUCUGGAAAACCUGGGAAUUUUAGGAAAGUUACUGUAAUUUUGUAACCCUUGUCUGGAUAGGUUAUCCUAUAGGAUAGGAUAGGAUAGGUAUAAGAGGUUUAGUUGUGGGACUUCCUGCAGAUCUGUAAACAUCCCAGAGAUAGGGCCAACAGGAAGGGAGUGCAUGUUCACAGACUAACACUUUGAUUUUAGCACCACAACUCAAAAGGAUGUGUUAUGUAAAAGCGUUGUUUUGGUGCGUGUUUAUUCAUACACUGGUAAAGAGAUUAUCAUAUAUUGUUUUUUUUAAUAAUCUGUAUCUUGUAUCUCUCUAGAUCUUUAACCUCUUAACCACACCUGUGUACCAAAUGCCACCCUAUUCCCUAUAUAGUACACUACCUAUAUAGUACACUAUGGGCUCUGGUCAAAAGUAGUGCACUACUCCCAGUGGGACAUGGACAAAAGUAGUGUACUACUCCGUAUGGGCCCAGAUAAAAAGUAGUGCACUACAAUGUGAAUAGGGUCCCAUUUGGGUCUCACCUAGAUCCUAUGUCUCUCAGAGAGAAUAGACAACAUGAGAUAUUCUCUGAGUUUACUGAAAGCUGCAUUAGAUGAUCAUUUCUGAUAUUAGUUUUUUUUUUAUCUAUAUAAAAUAUAUAUUGUCUGUCACAUUAAGGGAGUAAAUAAUUUAGUCCUUAAUUUACUUGAAUGUAUUUUUGUAUUCAACAAUUGCCUAAAAUAUCUGUCUUUCACAUGCCAAUGUGAUCAAAACAUGUAUAGUCUUGAAUAAAAGCACAUCUAUUGUGGAGUCAAAGAUAUUCUACUUAUUUGAUUUGUAUCAUCGUAAGUUUACGUCUUUCAAUUUAUUACACCUAAAAUUCCGAUAACUUUCACAAAAUGUUCAGGUUUCCCAGUUGAAAGAUUCACCGGAAUUUGCUAUCAACAUUCUCAGCCGCCAAAAGACAAAUGCCAAUUAUGUAUAAGUGAGAUUUACC